ensembl:snRNA U6 U6 spliceosomal RNA
AGAUCUCAGCAUGGCCCCUGUGCAAGGAUGACACACAAAUUCAUGAAACGUUCCGUAUUUUU